GACGUAGGGCGCGAGCGUUGUCCGGAUUUAUUGGGCGUAAAGGGCGCGUAGGCGGCCACCGCAAGUCGGUUGUGAAAUCCCCGGGCUUAACCCGGAAAGGUCAAUCGAUACUGCGGGGCUAGAGUGCAGAAGGGGCAACUGGAAUUCCCGGUGUAGCGGUGAAAUGCGUAGAUAUCGAGAGGAACACCGGUGGCGAAGGCGGCGGCCUGGGUUGACACUGACGCUGAGGCGCGAAAGCGUGGGGAGCAAACAGG
rnacentral:rRNA from 1 species